rnacentral:rRNA from 1 species
CCUACGGGGGGCAGCAGUGGGGGAUAUUGGACAAUGGGGGAAACCCUGAUCCAGCGACGCCGCGUGAGUGAAGAAGUAUUUCGGUAUGUAAAGCUCUAUCAGCGGGAAGAAAGAAAUGACGUUACCUUAGUAAGAAGCCCCGGCUAAAUACGCGCCAGCAGCCGCGGUAAUACGUAGGGGGCAAGCGUUAGCCGGAAUUACUUGGUGUAAAGGGAGCUGAGACGGUAAUUAAAGUCUGGAGUGAAAGGCGGGGGCCCACCCCCCGGAAUGCUCUGUAAACUGUGUAACUGGAGUGCAGGAGAGGCAGGCGGAAUUCCUAGUGUAGCGGUGACAUGCGUAGAUAUUAGGAGGAACACCAGUGGCGAAGGCGGCCUGCUGGACUGUAACUGACGUUGAGGCUCGAAAGCGUGGGGAGCAAACAGGAUUAGAUACCCUUGUAGUC